rnacentral:lncRNA from 1 species
UUAACUGUAAGCUAUACUCAAAGAAAAACAAGGAUAGGAUCAUAGGAUUAAUUCCAUAACUCAAGGGUUCCUACUGUUCUCAAAGAAGAUAAAUUACUUACCAGAAGUCACAUAGGGAUAUAUAUCCAAUGCUUGUUGGGUUUACAAUUGAAAAAGGCAUUUGUUUGACAGCUGUAUUUUCAGCAAUUAUAGUUAUCAAGGAUUUCAUUCACACUAUAUCUUUUUCUAUUAGGUGAAUCUUCCAACAACCAGAUAGAAUCAGAGUUUUUAAGGAUUUCAACUUAUACAUCUUUCUGGGGAGAUUGCUUAGAUUUGUACAGUCCUGCAAAUUUAGCAAUGUAAGAUACAAGAGGCAUCCAAUAGAUUGGUCUACUUCCCUCAAUCUUGGACAAUCUUUGAGAAUGAGUUGUUAAAGACUUGGUAUCGGAAAAGUCAGGGGUUUCUAUCAAGAUUAAGGACUUUUAGCCACGUCAAAACCUUGAAGAAGAUAGUUUUUGAUAAAAUAUCAGAGAAGUAAAUGAGAAAACGAAAUAGUUAUAAGUGGAAACAAAUAAUGAUUUUAAAAGAGAAUGACACGUAAUAAAACCUUGGGUUCUUUCCAAACGAAUCGAACAAGACUGUGUUUUAAGUCAAUCUCUAUUGCAUCAUGCAGAUAAAUAUUGUUUUAUAGGUAUUCUUAUAAAACAGGUACCCCUAAAGUAUCCCUCUUAAUUUAAUUCAUUCAUUGCUGAUAAAAAAAAAAAAUAGGUAUUCUUAUAAAGGUACUCGGAAUGUCCAGCGAAUUUCAGCAGUCUUACCUCUAAAGGAUAACGUUCCAAGAAAUCACUUGCGGUAGGCAAUCUCUGAAUCACUUUUGUCCUUUUAGAUGAAAAGAGCAAAGAAAAAGAAAUAUAUUGCUCAUGAGAAAGCAACCACUUCCAAAAAGAAGUUUCAAAACCAUAGAUAAAGGGUGUUCUUACCGUAUGCUCUGACAGUGCAUAUUCUGCAUCCUUAUUAAACCACAGUUGACUGUUCUUCCCUGAAAUUUGACGAAUAAUUUAUCUUCCCAUUUGUCUUCCUAAUUUGUUGUUCUUAUUAUGAGACUACGCUGUAUGAGAACUCUUAUUCCACUAUCAGCAUCUAUUCCACAGCCAUUUAGGAUCUUAGUAACGUAGACACUGUCCUUACUAACAAAGGAAAUAACAUACAUCAAGGAAUAAAUCUUUUUCCAUUUGAUUGUGUACACCGUCGAAGCUUGUUUUCAGUAUUUUGUAAAAUAAAUAUGAAUUUAACUAUGAGCUAUACUCAAAGAAAAACAAGGAAAGGAUCAGAAAGAUAAAUUGCACUAGAGGACACAAGGAUUAAUUCCAUAACUCACGGGAUCAUGCAAAAAAAAGUGGUUAGGUAGGUAAAACCCUCGCAAACUGAUUGAUCUUAAUUUCGCAGGAAGGUACUCAGAGUCUGCAGCUAGUUUCAAAAGUCUUGAUGAGUCUCUUAGACCUACAGGAAAGUUUCAAAAGUUUCGAUAUUAUGUUGUGUUUAGUUUAGCUAUCUGUUUGGUAGUGUCUGUUUUUGUUUCUACAUAAUAAGCACCGUAGCCUCUAUUCAUGAACCUAGGUUCUAUUGUGAUGAUCCAUCAUAGCCAGAUAGUAGAACAUAUUUUACCAUCCCCCAAAAAUCCAGUUUUAAAGCCCGGUCAUUGAAAUUGCCAGAUCUCACCAAAAUUGUAUUACUGAGCAUCAUAUGAUGUGGUCGGCAAAAGUUGUAUUGGUCCAAAGAAAGCUUCAUGAAACGUACCAUCUGACACAACCUAUGAAGCAUAUUGACACAGACACUGAUAUACAACACAGACACGAAAAUACGUAUAAUCUCUAAAAUGUAGGAUACGGGGACACGAUUUAUAUAUUAUAUAAUCAUGAAUUAUAUAAAUUAAUAAUAAAGAUUUAUGUGCAAAGUAUGUUUGAGUUAUUUUUGGAACAAAAAGAUUUUCUCAUAGCUGGUUCAAAAGGAUUUGUUCUUUAUUUUUAUAAUCAUAAUACGGGUAGAACGUAUACCUUUACGGAUAGCAAUAGGAAGAUCAAGUUCAACUGUUGGAGGUUCAACUGUCGUUGGAUGAGGAAAUAAAAUAGAAUGAGGAAUUUUGUUAUCUAAAACUGAAGAUGGCAUGCGAUUAAUGAGAUAACAUGCACUAAGAACAACAUCACCCCAAAAACACUGAGGAACAUCACCAUGGAUUAAAAUAGUACGAGUUGUUUUAACCAGAUGUCUAUUCUUGCGCCCAGCUACCCCAUUUUGUUAAGGUGUAUAAGCACAUGAAGUUUGAUGAAGAAUACCAUGAGAAGCCAUACAAUUUUGGGGAUAAUAAGUGAGACGACUGGAUAAUAAGUUAAAUGGAGACCCAAAAACAUAAAGAACAUUAUCAAUAGAUAAAGUAUGAAAAAGAUUAAUAGUACCAACACCAUGUGAUGGUAGCCUAUAUUCAUUGGCCAUGGUAACCGAAGGUAAAUAACCCGUAGUUGUACUUGUAAAGGGCUAAGACAGUAUUUGCAACCGGUUGGACAACUAAUUCUUCCCCUUGGUCACGCUUUACUUACUUUCCUUCUUCUUGCAUUCAGGUUUCGGCUCUCUACGGGAGUGCACCUACAAAAGGUUCUUUGAUGCUCAAGUGAGUAUUCAAUAUUUAAGUGCUAUUAAUGUUGUAAUAGUGAAGUACCUUUGCUUUGUCUAAUGUGCUUAUUUAUACCAGUGUAAUUGACUCUAUCAUUGAUGGGUCAUGUUUAUUGUGUAUAAUCAUAAAAAUGAAAUUACCUAAUAUAUCACGUAUUCCUUUUUACUUUGAUGUAUUUACACUAGUUAGUUGUGCGACAUCUGAUACCAAGUGUUAUAGGAUCAUUCGGCCUCGACCGAUACAUGUUUGAUCAAUCAAGAAGAGGUGCAAGUUUUGACCCUAAAUAUAAUAUUGUGGAUAUUCAAAUGAGUUCAAGAUACCAACCAUUUGAUCCAUUUAAUCUAGCACAGAUAAGUGAACAAUGUCCUAUAUCCAACAUUUCAAGUAGACAAACAUGGUUGAUGUGUUGAAUUAAAGCCAGCCUAAGGUCACAUUGACUCAAAUGAUGGAAGAGAACGUCCCUUACCAAGUAGAUCAAAUGUCACAUGCCAAUAAAAUCAUUGAAGUGGAAGGUAUAUUUGGAUUACAGAGGAAGAAGAGAGAACAAGAAGUUGAUGAUGAUGAUGUGGAGGAGUAAGAAACAGGGUAAAGUAAAUGCAUGCGGCUAUUAUUAGAUGACCUACAGUGGCAUCGUCUAUGGCUUAUAUAUAUAUAUAUAUAUAUAUAUAACAAUGCUUGCGGCUCAUACAUACCCAUACAUGCAGUUCAUGUAACAAAAUUUAUAAAUGUAAAUUGAAAAAAAAAUGAAAUACUUUUAAAUUAUACAUAAAACAAAUAGAAUCAGUGUAAAUAACGAGAAAUGAAAUCAAACUUUGUUUAAUUUAGUUUGAAAUAAAGCGAUGAGGCUACGGUGCUUCUUAUGUUGAAAUAAAAACAGACUACAUAGCAUAUAGUAUGGCAAAACACAUAACAAAUUAUUGAACCGCAACUAUCUUUAUUUCAUAAGAAAUACGAGGAUUUCUGAAUGAAAUAUUAUAUGCUAAAAGGGAAAAGAAUUGACAAAAGUAACAACGAGAAAGCAAAUCCAAUAAACAGCUAAGUAAAGCCAAGCAAGCACAAUGUGAGAAAUGAGAAACAGGGUAAAAUAAAUAUGAAUCUCGUAACUAUGAGCUCUACUCAAAGAAAAACAAGGAAAGAUCAGAAAAAAGAAUUGCAAUAAGGACACCAGGAUUCAUUCCAUAACUCAAGGGAUCCGGCUGUUCUCACAUUACAAUUUUCUUUAUUAAUCUAAUAAAAGAUUUUUUUCUUUGGCACAGGCUCCUUUUCUAAGUCAUUCGAUUCACUACAUAUUAGAUAGACAGCUGUGUUCUUGACUACCAAUUCAUUACCAAAACUCACAAAAAUCUCCACCUUGUCUUUUGAUCCUAAAUUUGACAUUAUGUCAGCCCAAUCUUCGUUGUUGAAGGAAAUUACUGUGCCAUGGUUGUGUAUCUGGCAUGUGCACUUUGUGUAAUUAACAAUUAAGACAGUACUAAGUGCAGGUUCAAUGAUUUCAGAGGUUGAUAAAUAAACCACACACAAAGCCAUUCCCUUCACGACACGAUCUUGAGGCACAGUGAAAGAAACAGAAUGUCCCUCACCCAUAUGGGCCAACCAAUAAGGAUCAUUGUCACCUGGGAGAUAAGCAUCACAUAACUCACUGCUUUCAAAUAUCUGUAUCAUGUGAUAAACAAGGAUAUGUUUAGUUAAACAAAAAUGUUAUACAUGAUUAAAACAGAUCUGGUUAAUAGUUUUGUUGUGUAUAUAGCACUUUCAUUUCUUUAAGGAUUUAGAAUGCAUUUCUGUUUUUGUCUCUCUUAGUUUAUAUUUCAAUGAUCAUUGGGAAUAAAGCAAUCAUGAAGCUAGUAAAGCAAGAAAGUGGAAAUCAAUUUGGUAGUACUUAGUAUAAGCAUAAUCACUUGAUUAGUUGUUUAUUAAAAUAAGAUACUUUUAUAUGAAGUCGUGGGGCCAUCGAAGGGAAGAGAUAUAAAAGUUCAGUAUUUUAGUUUGUACUAUAUACUUGAUUAGGAUUAUUUUCUGUUCUCUUAAAUAAUACCUAAAAUGAUGUUGAAGGUAAUAAAAAAGGGAAAGCUAGAGAAGAACCUUAGGUAUGCUACUGCUCCCAGUAUUGAAGAAUUGUUUGUAUCUUCCAACACCAGUCAGAAAAUACCUGAGGUGAUGCUUUGAAAUUACUGAUUCUGUAAUAUUUGCACCAUAUUCGGCCAGUAUGGUUUUUACUUGCUUAGAUAGUUGAAACUCGGCGUCACAUUGCACCAAAACACUUCGAAGAUUUGCGAGGCUGCUAAGCAAUGGUGCAAUAUCAUCCCAACUAUUAUCUUCCGUAUGCAUGAAGGAAUGAAUAUAAGAUAGGGGAUUCGUUGUUGGCGACAUCCGAGACCGAAUGAUAGAAGGAAAAAGAUUAUGUGACGAUUCCUCAAAUCCACGUAGGGAUAUAUAUCCAAUGCUUUUUCGGCUUACAAUUGUAAAAGGCAAUUGUUUCAUAACUGUAUUUUCAGCAAUUAUAGUUAUCAAGGAUUUCAUUCGCACUCUAUCGUUUUCCAUUAGGUCCAUCUUCGAACAACCAGAUAGAAUCAGAGUUUUUAAACAUUUCAGCUUAUAUAUCUCUUCGGGGAGAUUGCUCAGACUUGUACAAUCCUUCAAAUUUAGCAGUAUAAGAUUGCAGAGACAUCCAAUAGAUUGGUGUACUUCACGCAAUCUUGGACAAUCUUUGAGAAUAAGCUGUUCAAGACUUGGUAGUCCGGAAAAGUCAGGGGUUUCUUUUAAGUACUUUGAGUGACUAAGAUUAAGGACUUUUAGCCACGCCAAAACCUUCAAGAAGAUAGUUUUUGAUAAAACGGUAGAGAAGAAUAUGAGAAAACGGAAUAGUUAUAAGUGGAAACAAAUAAUAAUUUUAAAACAAAAUGACACGUAGUAAAAACCUGGGGUUCUUUCCAAACGAAUCGAAGAAGACUGUGUUUUAAAUCAAUCACUAUUGCAUCAUGCAGAUAAAAGUCGUUAGGUAGGUAUUCUGAAGAAAACCCUUGCAUACUGAUCCAUCUCAGUUUCUUAGAAUGGUACUCGGAAUGUCCAGCGAAUUCCAGCCGUCUUGAUGCGUCUCUUGCCUCUAAAGAAUAACGUUCCAAGAAAUCACUUCCGAUAGGCAAUCUCUGAAUCACUUUUGUCCCCUUAGAUGAGAAGAGCUAAGAAAGAAAUAUAUUACACAUGAGAAAGCAACCACUUCCAAAAGAAGUUUCAAAAGCAUAGAUAAAGGAUGUUCUUACCGUAUUCUCUGACAGUACAUAUUCUGCAUCCUUAUCAAAACACAGUUGACUGUUCUUCCCAGUUUCCUUUCUUGAAAUUUGACGAAUAAUUUCUCUUCCCAUUUGUCGUAGCAACGGAUGCAUUCCUAAUUUGUUGUUCUUAUUAACUCGUAUAAGACUACGCUCUGUCAGAACUCUUAUUUCACUAUCAGGGUCUAUUCCACAGCCAUUUAGGAUCUUGGUAACAUACGCUCUGCCUUUACCAACAAAGGAACAACAUAAAUCAAGGAAUAAUUUUUUUUCCAUUUGAUUGCAUAAACCGUCGAAGCUUAUUUUCAAUAUCUGGUCAAAUUUACGGUCGGGAAUUUUCUUUAAUUUUAAGAGUACUCUAUUCCAUUCUUCUUUCGUCCUUUCAUAUAAAUAACUUUCAAUGACUUCAAGAGCUAGAGGUAGUCCUCCACAAUAAGCAACUACUCUUUCUGCUAGGAAACGAUAAUCUUCUUUUGGUUUUGCUUCUUUAAAUGCGUGCCAACUAAGAAGCUCAAGGGAUUCAUCUGAGUUCAUUAGCUCUACCUGAAAAAUAGAAUCAGUUUGAUAUAUCAUCGGUAGUUUUUCAGGUGUUGUUGUAAUGAUUAUUACACUUCCUCUUCCAUACCAAUGACGGCAUUCCCAUAGUAAUGUGGCAUCAAACGGAGGCACAUCGUCAAGUACAAUGAGCACCCUUUUCCCAGAAAGUCUUUCCCGAAUCAUACGUCUUCCCAUCUCAAAGCUAUCUAUCUCUACCUUUGUUUUUAGGACAUCUGAAAGGAGUUGUUCUAGUAAACCAAGAUCCCCUCUUAUUCCGAUAACUUGUCCAAUAUCUUCAAUGAAACUUUUCUCCGUGAAUGUAUCAUGAAUUUGAUGGUAGAUGGCUUUAGCAAGGGUGGUUUUACCAGAUCCUCCCUGUCCACAUAUCGCUAUCCUACAAACUUCCGUGGAUUUACUUUUGAUAGUUCCAAUCAGAUCCUCCACUUGGUAUUGUAAUCCAACUGGAAAUUUAGUAGCAGACAACACUGGUAAAUUAAGAACGGUCUUAACAAUUUUGUCCACUAGUUCAGCAUCACUCCUUCAAGUUCAAUAGCAAUUAUGGAAGAAGUCAUGUCAUGUAUUACCAAAAUUAAAUCAGAAGCUUAAAAUAUGGUGAUUGAGUGAGUGAUUUACCUGUAAUUGCUCUCAUCCCAUCCAAAGAAAUUUGCAGCUUUGGUGAGUGCGUGGCUCCAUUUGGACAUGGCAUGUUCCAGUUGUUGUCCUGAAAAUGUUUGGUGUGCAGUUUCUUUCAAGGCUUUUCCAAAAUCACCCUUCUGAAGACGUACAUCAGAUGGCUCAAUUUCGUAAUAAACGGGCAGAACAUGUCGACAAUAAGUUUCUUUCCAUCUAAUGAUUUGUUGAAGCUGGUGAAGACACCAAGCAGAUUGAGAAUAGGUUUUGGUGAAAACAACAAUUGCUACACGAGAGAGAUUGAGAAUAGGUUGUUGGAUGUGAAUUGGGUUGUGUGCAUUGGGGUGGUGAAGGAAAGUGGUGAAGCCAACAGCAGAGAGGGCAGAAUUGAGAUGAGACACAAAUUUCCUUUGGAUGUCUUCUCCAGUAAAGUUGAUGAGUACAUCGUACAUCCGUGGGAGUUUGGAUGUUGAGGAGGCCAAUUCCAUGGAAGGAAUUGAUGAGGUCAUCAACUGUUAGCAGAAGAGAAACAAAUGAUGCAACGCAGUCAAAUAAUAUGCACAGACAUAACCGUUAAGGACACCAAAGAUGAAUAAUACAUUUUUUUAUAGUCAAAUGAUAUCACAGAACCUCUUUUACUUUAGCCAUUUUAAAAGUUAGACCAAUGCACGCCAACUUUGAAUCACUGAAAAAAUAAAUAUUAUACUAAUACCUAUGAAAUUUUCUCCAAUAUAUUCCUUUUUUAUAUUAUGCGUCCAGCUUUUUAAGUUUUAAAAUAUAACAUGCAUGUUUACAUUACCCAUUCACCUCGUUAACAUAAAUCAUUGUAACAAAGUAACAAAAUAAAAAAAAAGUAUAAAUAUAAUUUGAAAAAAUUUACGACAGGUCAUUUUUUAUAAACAAGUAGCGAUGAAGUUCGCGCACAUCAAUGGAGAAGGAAAGGUGUCAGUGAAAGGGUAGCUUUGUCAAAUGAAAUAAUUGGUUUCAAUUGGUUCGUUGACAAAAAUUUCUUGCUAGAUUUGCCUAUUAUUGGCAAGAAGUGCACAUGGUUCAAAUCAAAUGGAUCAACUAAGAGCAGGUUAGAUAGAGUGCUUGUGAACAAUGAUUGGUUACAGAAUUGGUCAGGGUGUAAACAGCAGGUAGUGUUUGAUCACUAUGUUUUAGUGGUGAAGUUUAUGGUAAAAGACUGAGAUCCUAAGCCAUUCAGAACUAUCGACGCAUGGCACAUGGAGAGGGGAUUCAAGGAGCUGGUGCAAGAGAAAUGGAUGUCAUACUCUACACAAGGGAAUGACAUGAUCAAACUCAAAGAUAAGUUGAAGAUGCUAAAGAACGACCUAAAAGUCUGGAACAUGGAUGUGUUUGGUAAUAUUGACUUAAAAAAGAGUAGAAUCUUGAAGAGAAUAGAAGAAGUUGACUGUCAAGAUGCAUAUGGCAAGCUGGAGGGAAGUUCUAGGCUUGAAAGAAUGGAACUCGUUAGCCAAUUGAGGGUGACAAAUAAAAAGAUAUAAUCUCUCACUAGUCAAAAGACGAGAGUAAAUUGGCUAAAGCAUGGGGAUUCAUGUUCAAGAUACUAUCACUCAAUUCUAAGGUGGAGAAGACUUAGGAAUGAAAUCAAAAGAGUUGAGGUCGGAGGUGAGUGGUGCGAGGAGCCUGAAGUUGUUAUAAAAGAAGCAAAAAAGUUGUUCCAAGACAAAUUUGUGGCUACUAAAGACGUCGGGGUUAGAAUUGGUGCGGCUAAGUUUAAAACCCUCUCUGUGGAAGGAAAUCUUAUCCUUAUUGUUGAGUUCACUAAGGAAGAAGUGCAGGAAGCGGUGUGGCGAUGUGAUGGCUCAAAGAGUCCUGGUCCAUAUGGAUAUAACUUUAACUUCAUCAAGAAAAGUUGGGAUGUUAUUAAAAGUGACAUUGUAGCAGUGGUGGCACAGUUCCAUGAUUCAAGUAGCAUACCAAAAGGAUGUAAUGCUUCGUUUAUAGCCUUGGUCCCUAAAGUUAGUGACCCUUUGAAGCUUGAUCAGUAUAGACCAAUCACCUUAGUGAGUGCUCUAUAUAAAAUCAUAUCGAAGGUGUUGUCUUGUAGAAUCAAGUCUGUUCUGCCAUCGGUGAUAGAUGGGAGUCAUUCGGCCUUUUUGAUGGAUAGAGGGAUGCUGGAUAGCGUACUAAUGGCGAAUGAAGUGGUAGAGGAGCUCAGGAGGGAUGGGAGGAGUCUCCUAUUUUUAAAGGUGGACUAUAAAAAGGUGUACCACUCGGUCAAGUGGGAUUUUCUUUAUCAUAUGAUGCAAAGGUUGGGGUUUCACUAUAAAUGGAUUUUAUGGGUCAGAGAAUGCUUGGUUUUUGCUUCGGUCUCGAUUUUGGUUAAUAGAAGUCUACUGAAGAAUUUAAACCGACGAGAGGGUUGAGGCAGGGUGAUCAUCUAGCACCAUUCCUAUUUAUCAUAGUAGCUGAAGGCCUUGCUGAGUUAGCCAAACAAGCUAUAAAGGCCAAUGCGUUAUCAGGCUUGAAGAUUGGUAGGAAUGCGGUAGAGGUGUGCGUGCUUCAAUUGGCUGAUGAUACACUUUUUCUAUGUGAAGACUCCUUUAGAAAUGUAAUCACUAUGAAGGCUAUAUUGAGGGGCUAUGAACUUGCAUCAGGCUUGAAGAUUAAUUUCCAUAAGUCGAAGGUUGCAGGCAUAAAUGUUGAAAGGAAUGCCCUGGAUCUCUACGCUAAGACCUUAAAUUGUACGCAGAUGUCGAUUCCUUUCAAGUAUUUGGGGCUUGAAGUGGGUGGUAACCCUAGGAAGAUAAUGUUUUGGGAGCCAAUCCUAAGGAAACUUAAAGCAAAACUCAGUGCGUGGAAAGGGAGAUUCUUGUCAUUGGCAGGAAGAAUAUGUUUAAUUAAAUUUGUCCUCUCAGCUUUGCCUCUCUUCUAUCUAGCAUUCUAUAAAGCGCCAGAAUUCGUAUUAGCAUCACCAGCAUCCAAAGGAGGUUCUUGUGGGCGUGGGGGAAGGAAGAAAGAACAAUAUCAUGGGUAAGAUGGGAGGAUGUGUGUAAACCUAAAGAGGAAGGUGGGUUGGGUGUUAAAGACAUUAGAAAGUUUAACCAAGCUCUUCUGGCUAAAUGGAGGUGGUGUUUACUGAUUGGAGAGAAAGGCAAAUGGAGAGACUUGCUGGUGUCAAAGUAUGGCUCGGCUGCUAGUACGCCAGUGAAGCUCCAAUCAUGGUGGUCGGGGGACCUGUCCAAAGUUUGUCAUGGGGGAGGAGGUGGUGGAUGGUUUCAGGAAGCAACAAGUUUGAAAAUAGGAGCUAGUGAUAAGGUUAGAUUUUGGAAGGAUGUGUGGGUUGGAAAUCUGAACCUCAAAACAGUAUUCCCUAGGUUGCAUUCUUUAUCCUUGAACCAGGGAGAAAAGGUAGGUGAGGCUGGCGUGUGGGUAGGAUCAGAAUGGCGGUGGAGUCUAAGGUGGAGAUGUGCUAGGUUUGUGUGGGAAUCUAUUAUGGAGGAAGAUCUUUUAAGGCUCAUAUCUCAAACCAAUCUGUAUAAAAAGGUGAAGGGCUACCAGGUGUGGAGGAAUGAAGAAUCAGGGAUGUUCUUAGUGAAAUCGGCGUAUGAUCACUUAACUAAUCCUGUAAGAGGUCCUCACAAUGACCUCUUCAAGUGAUUUUGGAAGAUAAAAGCGCUACCCAACGUGUUGUUUACGGCCCGGAUGGUCUUAUUGGAUAGAAUUCCAACAAGAGUAGCAUUAAGUAGGAGAGGAGUGUCAGUGCCUACUCCCUUAUGUGCUGUGUCAGGCUAAGGAGGAGUCAAGUCAACAUUUAUUCAUAGAAUGCAUGAUUGCCUAGAAGGUUUGGCCUACAUGUUUUAGAUGGAUUGGUAUUCUAUCGGUGCAACACAAUGAAUUGAAGUGCCAUUUUGAGAAUUUUCAUCUGGAACAGGUGAAUAGCAAUCAAAACUUGGUAUGGAAAGGUAUUUGGGCAAUCAUAGUGAGGUGUAUUUGGGAUCAUAGAAACAACGUUAUUUUCAAACAAGGAGCAGUUAAUGCGGAAGAGAUUUUCCAUAUGGUACAACUUAUGUCUUGGUUGUGGAUGAAGUAUAGGACUCCUUCUUUCAAUCACUCCUACACGGGUCCUGAAUCCCCUUCCAUGUAUUAGAAGUUAUAGGUAAGGGGAAGGAAUAUAGGAAGCAAUUAUGGAGGGAAAGGUUGAAUGUAGGGUAGCUAUAGUACUCGAAGGAAACUAUCACGUGAAGGGUGUUUAGUAGGCUGGGAGAGUUCAGGUAGGGGCAGCACAAAGUAGAGCAACCUUAUCAAUGCUGAUGCAGUUCUAAGGAGUUGCAGGAAUUAAUAGUAGCAGCAGAGGUGUUGAGCCUCUCCCCAAGGAUUCCCCAGUUUCCAUUUCAUUAUGAGACUGGUGUAGAAGUAGGAUGUGGACUUUAUGUAGCUCUGCUACUGGUGCUGGUCCAGAAGCAUAGUUCUCAAGGUAAAGGUGUCGGUAAAUACUAAAGGCAAGUUUUUAAUGCUUACUUGAGGGGCGCCAGGGUAAGCUAUGCAGGUUGUUUUGGUUGCAUAACUGACGACUAGACUGUGCUUUUGAACUAUUGGUGUAUCAGCUGUUGGGAGAAAGCCUGUGCUGGCCAGUCUAUGAGAAGCAGAACAUACUCACUUCAGUUUUGAGUGCACCAAUAAAUCUGCAUAAUUUAGGUGGUAUAAAUGCUACACUUCAGAUGCUAAUUACGGUACUCUGAUGAGACUUUUAAUCAUAAAGCGCAAGUUGCACAAUGAUGGAAAAAGAAUUUUAAUUUCAACUAGAAGGCUGUUAUUAAGGUGCGAAACAGAACAACUCUGUAGCAUUUGAAGCAAAAAUGUCAAAGGUCUAUAGGUUCUGCUUUGUGGACCCUUAGGAGGAGAAAAUGAAAUGCCUGGAUGAGGUAGCAGGAGGCAUUAGCUUGCUGAUUUUGAGGAGCUGAAGGGGUCAGUAAAGUCUGAGGUGAGUAGAGGUAUCGGGCAGAUUUAAGAGAUUGGGUGAGAAGCCUCUUAGAGGGUGCAAAGCUGGGUUAGUAUGUAGAAAGUUGUGAAGGGAAGGUGAUGCGAGAAGUACUCAAUCCCAAUGCAGGAAUUUGUUUGAACCUGGAAGUGGAGGGAUUGGUUUAAAUGUUGAACUAGCUUUAGAGAACAAUUGAGGAGGCUUAAGGAGAAAGUGUUCGUUUUUUGAGAAAUAAGCACCAGUACUCUCCAAGUCAAUUUUCUAGCCUUUAUUAGAAUCUCUUAAGGAAAGUUAGAAAAUGCUGCAGCCAAUUUGUUCGAGAGUUCAGUUUCUGCUUGAAGAUUAUGCUUGAAGUACUGUGCCGGUAAUUGCUAUGUCCAUGAGUAGAAUGGCUUGAGAAGAUUCUGCUGCAGCCAUUAGAUAACCAUGCAGUUUGACUCUCUGAGGAAGAAUGGUGGAAAUAAGGUAGAAUGAAAGGUGCAUGAAAAUAGGCGUGAUGAUGCAGUUAAGGCAGCAAAAGAGCCUCUUUGCUGUUGUAAAGGUUGGCCAGAGUUUUUUUCAAUACUUGCAUUUAUGUUGGUGUGUGGUAGAGAAUUUUAUGGAAAGUGCUUCUCUGCUGUAUAAGGUGCUGUUAUCAACAUUGAGAUAUCUGCAGUCUCAUGCUUACUGCAUAAGUUUGAAGGUCUAGGACCUAAUUGUUUGUGGAGGAUGCUUAGUCUUUAAUAUGUAGCCUUUUUUUGGUGAUGGCAACUUUUCAAUGGUUCCGUUUGUAGGAAAGUUGCUUAGAGUGUUUGUUGUUGUAUAAUGGUUGGACACUUCUAAAAUAUCUUUUUUAAUUUAUUAAUUUUUUAAUAAUUAAAAAAUAAACAAGUAAAGAAAUUGUGUCUCUUUAUUAAAAUAUAAUAAUUAUUAAAAAUAUUAGUUAAAUGAAUGUCUUUUCUAAAAUUACUGAGCUUAUAGUGUCAUUUUAUUAAUAAAAAAAUUAAUAUUAGAGGAAAUGUUCGCCUAGGGAAAAAAAUACAUGUAAUUUUCUCUUUUAUUUACAAUACAGAUUGUAAAAAAAAAAUGAAUGAAAGUGAUAAAUUUAAUAUAAUUUUAUUUAUUACACUUUUUACAUUAUAAAAUUGUAUAUAUCCUUAGUGAAAAAUCCAUUCUUGAUACCACUCUCUUCGCAUGAGGAGAGUUUCAAAAGUAUUUCAUUUUAAAACAACUUAAAGUGGGUCUCCAAACAUGGAAAAGGGUAAGUACUUUCUUGGAAAUUCCUCAUACACAAUCAUGUAAAAUGAGUCAAUUACGUCACCUAUUUUUAUGUUGAACUCCUACGCAAAAAAAUAUGGUAAUAUUUUCGUAAAUAUUUCAAACAUGUUCAGAUGUUCUAGGGUCUCAUGUAAAUAUUCAUAUAUUUACGUCAGAAGUUGCUUAAAUAAGAACACAAUGCAUCUUCUUCCUUGCAUUUUGAACGCACAUGAAUCCCUCUUCUUCUUCUCUGACGAAGGCGACUACAACGCGAGUCUGCACUUGUUGGUCAUCUAAAUUCUACUUCCGUCUUUAUGUCUCAUUUGUGGCGGCAGACCUUUCUCUCUAAUUGCAUUAUUGGAGCAUUUGUGGGUGAAUGUUUGUCAUUCAUGUUAGUUUUUUCACUAGUAUAAAAUGAUGAAAAUAAUACUCUUAUUAAGUGCGGCUUUGCGUUCAAACGCAUUCGUAAAAAAUACGGUGACAUUUUUUAAAUUAAUUUGAUUUACAAAUGCGGCUAUUCAAAUAGCCGCAUUUGUAAAUCUUUUUUUACCCUAAAAUUUAAAUUGCACACACUACUUUCAUAUUUUCUUCUCCACUUUGCCUUUCGUUUUCACUGUUCCUCCGCUCGCGUACGCUUGCAGUUCUUCUCUUCUUCUGCAUCUUCAUUAAUUUGUGUCAUUGUGAGUUUCUUGAAUUGCUUUCUUUCUCUGCAUCUUCACUACGUAUAAAUCUUUUUCGUUUUUCCUUAUAUUUGUUUUUUCUCCUUGCAUUGUGGUCAAACUGUUCCAUUGGCAUUCUCAUCUCCAUCGCUACUCUGCAACCGCUUCCGCUGUCGUUGCUGGCGCUCCCCUGCCACUCUUCACCACCAACGUCGGUUCACACACAAGAUUAGUGUUCUGUUUUAAAUUUUUUGAAUUUUUCUUUAAUAUUUUGAAUUUAUUUUUUUAUGUAUUAUAAUUUGUAUAUUAUUUAUAAAUAAUUUGUACAUUGUGGGUUACAUUUGAACAUAUUUAUUAUUAUUUUUAUUUACUGAAGCAUAUACAAGUGCGGCUAAAAGUCGCACUUGUAAAUUGUAUUUAUAAAUGCGGCUAUAUAACCGCAUUUGUAUCUCUUCGAUUUACAAGUGAGUGUUGAUCAAAUGCGACUAUAUAGCCACAUUUAUAUAUUCAAAAUAGCCGCACUAGUUGUGUGUUUUUGCACCAGUGUUUAUAUCUUCUUUUUACUAUUGAAAUUGAAACUCUGGUAGUUUUUUAGAUCUCAAUCAUCAUGAUAAUGCAUGAAUGUUUCCAUUGAAUUGUUGUUAGUUAUUAUUGAUAUUGAAAUUUUUGUUAAAUUAAAUGUGUUAUUUAGUUGUUUAUAUUUCAAAUAUUAAAAUUAAUGUUUGUGUAAUUGUGAAUAUUAUAAGAUGUUUAAAAUUGUAUUCUACACAUUAGAAAUAGUCAAAAUUAUAGGGAUUAAUUAUAGAAAAAGGCAUUUGUUUGACAGUUGUAUUUUCAGCAAUUAUAGUUAUCAAGGAUUUCAUUCGCACUAUAUCUUUUUCCAUUAGGUCAAUCUUCCAACAACCAGAUACAAUCAGAGUUUUUAAGAAUUUCAACUUAUACAUCUUUCUGGGGAGAUUGCUUAGAUUUGUACAGUCUUGCAAAUUUAGCAAUGUAAGAUACAAGAGGCAUCCAAUAGAUUGGUGUACUUCCCUCAAUCUUGUUCAAUCUUUGAGAAUGAGUUGUUCAAGACUUGGUAUAUGAAAAGUCAGGUUUCUAUCAAGUACUUGGAGUGACUAAGAUUAAGGAC